GUGCUCGCUUCGGCAGCACAUGUACUAGGGUUGGAGCAAUACAGAGAAGAUAAGCAUGGCCCCUGUGCAAGGAUAACACGCAAAUUCAUAAAGCCUUCCAUAUUUUU
rnacentral:snRNA from 1 species